rnacentral:rRNA from 1 species
AACGAACGCUGGCGGCAGGCUUAACACAUGCAAGUCGAACGCUUCCUUCGGGGUGAGUGGCAGACGGGUGAGUAACGCGGGGGAACAUGCCCUUCAGUUCGGGUUUACCCAGGGAAACUUGGGGUAAUACCGGAUUCGUGCGCGAGCAGAAAGAUUUAUCGCUGAAGGAUCGGCCCGCGUCUGAUUCGCUGGUUGGUGGGGUAAUGGCCCACCAAGGCGACGAUCAGUAGCUGGUCUGAGAGGCUGAUCAGCCACAUUGGAAAUGAGACACGGCCCAAACUCCUACGGGAGGCAGCAGUGGGGAAUAUUGGACAAUGGGCGAAAGCCUGAUUCAGCCAUGCCGCGUGAGUGAUGAAGGCCUUAGGGUUGUAAAGCUCUUUCGUCCGGGACGAUAAUGACGGUACCGGAAGAAGAAGCCCCGGCUAACUUCGUGCCAGCCGCCGCCGUAA